rnacentral:lncRNA from 1 species
AAUCAAUUUACAUGUAGCAAUUUUAGCUUUAAUGAGGCACCUUAAUUUUUGCUCAUAAUAACUUUUUUAGGUACCCCACGGUUUACUUGAAGUACUAAAACAACAUUUAGCUUCUUUGGAAGAGAACAAUGACACUUUACCUCCUUACUGAUUAUUUUGACUACAUGAUACAUUACAACCAUCAUUAUCUUCGCAAGCCCACGAACCUGUUGGAACCAGACAGCAAGGUGGAACGAUUAUAGCAAACAACCUAAAUGGCUCACCUGCUAGCCUUGUAGGAAGUAAACAUCUAUUUUUAAAUUAAUAUUUUAAAUAUAUUUUAAAAUGUAUUUUAAGAAAAAGCAUUUACACAAAAAUAAUGUAAAACUUGUGUUUGUUUUAUGAAACAGAUUUUAACUUUGAAGAAAUCCCAG